CCUACGGGAGGCAGCAGUAGGGAAUCUUUCACAAUGGGCGAAAGCCUGAUGGAGCAACGCCGCGUGCAGGAUGAAGGCCUUCGGGUUGUAAACUGCUUUUAGAAGCGAGAAAUAUGAUGGUAACUUAUGAAUAAGGAUCGGCUAACUACGUGCCAGCAGCCGCGGUCAUACGUAGGAUCCGAGCGUUAUCCGGAGUGACUGGGUGUAAAGAGUUGCUUAUGUGGCAUAAUAAUUAGCUAGUGAAAUCUGGUGGCUCAACCAUUCAGACUGUUGGCUAAACUGUUACGCUCGAGACCGUUAGGGGUAAGUGGAAUUUCUAGUGUAGGGGUGAAAUGCGUAGAUAUUAGAAGGAACACCAAUAGCGUAGGCAGGUUACUGGGACGGUUCUGACGCUAAGGCACGAAAGCGUAGGGAGCAAACGGGAUUAGAUACCCCAGUAGUC
rnacentral:rRNA from 1 species